UACAGAUAAAUUUACAUUUCCGAUUUCUAUUUUCUCUUUGGAGGAGUUUUUGACUUCUCCCCUUUUCAAUUUGGUGCUCUUCAAGGAAAGUUCACAAAGCAGGAGCGUUCAACUCCAGCUGAUUGAAGUUCUCAUCUCUACUUCUGUUGACAUGUUAUGCUGAGUGCUCUGGUUGACCCGGUUAAUAUUAUAAAUAUGGAGUGCAAUAAAGAUGAAGCAACCAGGGCAAAGUUAAUUGCUGAGAGCAAGUUAGAGCAGAAGGAUUAUCUAGGUGCAAAGAAGUUAACGCUGAAAGCUCAAGCUUUAUAUCCAGAGCUUUAUGGUAUUACCCAGCUGCUGACAACCUUGGAUGUGUAUCUAUCUUCAGAGAAGAUACAUGGGGAAGUAGAUUGGUAUCGAGUGCUAUGUGUGAACCCUUCAGAUGAUUACGAUACCAUAAAAAAGCAGUUCAGGAAGCUGGCACUCAAGCUGCACCCAGAUAAAAAUACUUCUGUUGGGGCAGAUGGCGCAUUUAAACUCAUUUCAGAAGCCUGGAAUUUGCUAUCCGAUAAAGAAAAGAGGGCGGCAUAUAACCAAAGGAGGGGACAUGGGGGAGUCCAAAAGACUGUCCCAACACAUACCGGUGGUCCAUCAGCACCAUGCGGGGCAUGGAAUUAUGCAUAUACUCAGCCAAGUCAGCAGAAUGUUCCAUCAGCAUCACCCCGGCAAAGUAGAAAGAAAGUUCCUUCUGUACCAUCCCAGCCAAGCCAACAGAAGGUUCCUGGACACACUGGUGGUCCAUCAGCUGCAGCACAUACUGCUGGUCCUUCUGGUACAACUUCAACCAGGAAGUCAAAGAGUAAAACUGCGAAGAAGGCUGGGACUCAAAAUCCGGCUCCCUACCAUGUUAGACCCGAUGCCUUUUGGACUGUCUGCCAUGGAUGCAAUACUCAUUUUGAGUAUCUUAAGAUGUAUUGCAACCAUACUCUUCUUUGUCGCAUUUGUGAUAAGCCAUUUCUGGCUUUGGAGAUAGCACCGCCUGUAUUUUCCAAAUCAGCCAAACCGGUUCCCUGGGUUCGACGGGAGCAUUCACACACAAGUUAUCCUGGUCAAAGUGCUUGUGAUCCUAAAAAAAAAGCUGCUGCUGCUCAAAACCCAGAAGCAGGCCAAACCAGUCCCAGUUCUUAUGUGUAUACAAACUGUCAGCAGGGACCCCUUCCUGAAACAGCCAAUACUGCUGCAGAAAAACCAGACAAUGUUGUUCAGCAGGCACGUGAUAGCUUGAAGAGGCCACAUACUGAAUCACAUGCCCCUGCUAAUUUGGAAAAGUUCUUUAAAAAGGUAAAACUAGAUGCUGGUGAUAGUAAUGGAUACAGAGCAAACCUUAAUAUGGCUCAGGGAGAUUUUGGGGCUGAAACCCGAAAGCUGUUGGUCUCCAAUACUCAAAAGGAGAUUCUGAAGAAGCUAAGCGACUCCAAUAUGUAGAUCAACUGAGGAAAAUACUUGACUGGGAUAAGUAUAGGUAGAACAACAAUAUGCAAAGGACAUGAUGGUAAUAGAAUGCUCCCUGAUUCAUGUGGCGCGCACUCUGGAUUUUUACUGAAUCUCCUUGGUGAGCUCCUAACAACACAGGCUUUGCCUACAAUGGACUCUGGGAUGUUCUACCUGAUGAGAUGCUGUUUGGACAACAAAAUCGUACGAGCUAGUCACAAACUGACGCAGUACUUUUGCUUGGGAAAAUGCUGACAAAUUCAUCUGCAUUGUUGAUCAACCAUCGAAUGUGAACCCCUAAGAAACCCAGAAAAGGCAGCAAAGCAGAAGACCCAGAGCCAAGUUAAAGAUACAAAACAAACUGCUGUCAGGUUAUGCUGAGUGCUCUUUCUGACCCUGUUAAUAUAACAAAUAUGGUGUGCAAUAAAGAUGAAGCAAGCCGGGCAAAGUUAAUUGCUGAGAGCAUGAUAGAGCAGAUGGAUUAUCUCGCUGCAAAGAAG